rnacentral:tRNA from 1 species
AAUGAAAUGCCUGAAAAAGGAUUACUUUGAUAGAGUAAAUUAUACACUCCCGUGUUUUCAUUA